rnacentral:rRNA from 1 species
UACGAAGGGGGCUAGCGUUGUUCGGAAUUACUGGGCGUAAAGCGCACGUAGGCGGAUUAGUAAGUCAGGGGUGAAAUCCCGGGGCUCAACCUCGGAGCUGCCUUUGAUGCUGCUGAUCUCGAGUCUGGAAGAGGUGAGUGGAAUUCCUAGUGUAGAGGUGAAAUUCGUAGAUAUUAGGAAGAACACCAGUGGCGAAGGCGGCUCACUGGUCCGGUACUGACGCUGAGGUGCGAAAGCGUGGGGAUCAAACAGG